rnacentral:rRNA from 1 species
GACGAACGCUGGCGGCGUGCCUAACACAUGCAAGUCGAGCGAGAGACUUCGGUCUCUAGCGGCGGACGGGUGAGUAACACGUGGGUAACCUGCCUCAUAGAGGGGGAUAGCCUCCCGAAAGGGAGAUUAAUACCGCAUAAUAUUAGAUCCUCACAUGGAGAUUUAAUUAAAGGAGUAAUCCGCUUUGAGAUGGACCCGCGGCGCAUUAGCUAGUUGGUGAGGUAACGGCUCACCAAGGCGACGAUGCGUAGCCGACCUGAGAGGGUGAUCGGCCACACUGGAACUGAGACACGGUCCAGACUCCUACGGGAGGCAGCAGUGGGGAAUAUUGCACAAUGGGCGAAAGCCUGAUGCAGCAACGCCGCGUGAGUGAUGAAGGCCUUCGGGUUGUAAAACUCUGUCUUUGGGGACGAUAAUGACGGUACCCAAGGAGGAAGCCACGGCUAACUACGUGCCAGCAGCCGCCGUAACAC